rnacentral:rRNA from 1 species
CCAUGUGGCCAUACCAGCUUGUCGAAGCCUGAUCUCAUCAGAUCUCACAAACGAAGCAAGGCUGGGCCUGGUUUGUACUUGGAUGAAAGAACACUGGGAACACCAGGUCCCACAGUGG